AAUAGAUACCCGGGUAGUCCACGCCGUAAACGAUGGAUACUAGCUGUUCGUCCGCCUCGGCGGAUGAGUGGCUAAGCGAAAGUGAUAAGUAUCCCACCUGGGGAGUACGAACGCAAAGUUUGAAACUCAAAGGAAUUGACGGGGGCCCGCACAAGCGGUGGAGCAUGUGGUUUAAUUCGAUGAUACGCGAGGAACCUUACCAAGGCUUAAAUGUAGAUUGACAGGACUGGAAACCAGUUUUUUACUUCGGACAAUUUACAAGGUUGCUGCAUGGUUGUCGUCAGCUCGUGCCGUGAGGUGUCAGGUUAAGUCCUAUAACGAGCGCAACCCCUGUUGUUAGUUGCCAGCGAGUCAAGUCGGGAACUCGUAACAAGACUGCCAGUGUAAACUGUGAGGAAGGUGGGGAUGACGUCAAAUCGUCACGGCCCUUACGCCUUGGGCUACACACGUGCUACAAUGGCCGGUACAGAGAGCAGCCACUGCGCGAGCAGGAGCGAAUCUAUAAAAACCGGUCACAGUUCGGAUCGGAGU
rnacentral:rRNA from 1 species